rnacentral:rRNA from 1 species
CAAAUCAUCAUGGCCCUUAUGUCCUGGGCUACACACGUGCUACAAUGGCCUGUACAAAGCGAAGCGAAGCAGUGAUGUGAAGCAAAACGCAUAAAGCAGGUCUCAGUCCGGAUUGAAGUCUGAAACUCGACUUCAUGAAGUUGGAAUCGCUAGUAAUCGUAUAUCAGAAUGAUACGGUGAAUACGUUCUCGGGCCUUGUACACACCGCCCGUCACACCACCCGAGUUGAGGAUACCCGAAGCUAUUAUUCUAACCCGUAAGGGAGGAAGGUAUUUAAGGUAUGUUUAGUGAGGGGGGUGAAGUCGUAACAAGGUAGCCGUACUGGAAAGUGCGGCUGGAUCACCUCCUUU